AAUAGAAAACCCCCGGUAGUAAUAUAAAUAAAACCAUUAAAGCUUGGUAGUUAUAAUCUUUUAGAGAAACUUGUUUUAUAAUUGUAAAUUCUCAUUAUAUUUAACUUUAGUUUAAAGUUUAUAUACCGCCGUUUCUGACAUAUUAACAACACAAUAUCAAAAUAAAUAAAUAAUUAAAAAAUCAGGUCAAGGUAUAGCAAAUAUUUAAGUAAAAAUUAGUUACAAAUAAACCAAAAUUUAAGAAAACUUCUACCAUAAUAGAAUUAGAAAAAGAAUCUAAAAACAACUAAAUAAUAAUAAUUAAUAUUGAAAUAUUAAAUUAUAAUGC
rnacentral:rRNA from 1 species